rnacentral:rRNA from 1 species
AUUGGACGCUGGCGGCAUGCUUUACACAUGCAAGUCGAACGGUGACAGGCCGCAAGGUGCUGACGAGUGGCGAACGGGUGAGUAAUGCAUCGGAACGUGCCCAGUCGUGGGGGAUAACGCAGCGAAAGCUGCGCUAAUACCGCAUACGAUCUACGGAUGAAAGCGGGGGACCGUAAGGCCUCGCGCGAUUGGAGCGGCCGAUGUCAGAUUAGGUAGUUGGUGGGGUAAAGGCUCACCAAGCCAACGAUCUGUAGCUGGUCUGAGAGGACGACCAGCCACACUGGGACUGAGACACGGCCCAGACUCCUACGGGAGGCAGCAGUGGGGAAUUUUGGACAAUGGGCGCAAGCCUGAUCCAGCAAUGCCGCGUGCAGGAAGAAGGCCUUCGGGUUGUAAACUGCUUUUGUACGGAACGAAACGGUCCUGGUUAAUACCCGGGGCUAAUGACGGUACCGUAAGAAUAAGCACCGGCUAACUACGUGCCAGCCGCCGCGGUAAAAC